rnacentral:rRNA from 1 species
UACGAAGGGGGCGAGCGUUGUCCGGAUUUAUUGGGCGUAAAGAGCUCGUAGGCGGCUUGUCGCGUCGAAUGUGAAAACUCGGGGCUCAACUCCGAGCUUGCAUUCGAUACGGGCAGGCUAGAGUUCGGUAGGGGAGACUGGAAUUCCUGGUGUAGCGGUGAAAUGCGCAGAUAUCAGGAGGAACACCGGUGGCGAAGGCGGGUCUCUGGGCCGAUACUGACGCUGAGGAGCGAAAGCGUGGGGAGCGAACAGG